rnacentral:rRNA from 1 species
UACGGGGGGGGUAAGCGUUGUUCGGAUUCAUUGGGCGUAAAGGGUGCGUAGGCGGCACGGUAAGUCGGGUGUGAAAUCUUGGAGCUUAACUCCGAAACUGCAUUCGAUACUGCCGUGCUUGAGGACUGGAGAGGAGACUGGAAUUUACGGUGUAGCGGUGAAAUGCGUAGAUAUCGUAAGGAAGACCAGUGGCGAAGGCGGGUCUCUGGACAGUUCCUGACGCUGAGGCACGAAGGCCAGGGGAGCAAACGGG